CUGUCAUUUAGAGGAACUAAAAGUCGUAACAAGGUAACCGUAGGUGAACCUGCGGUUGGAUCAUUAAUAAUGAUAGCUCUAUGGUUUGUAGUGGUCUUCGUGAUCCUCGCUAUAGAGUCAACUACACCUGUGCACUGUUUAGCCUGAGCCGGUUUUCCGGUCCAGGUUAUCAUUUCAUACAAACUCUAGUCUUAUGAAUGUAAACGUUUUAAUAACAUAAUAAAACUUUCAACAACGGAUCUCUUGGUUCUC
rnacentral:misc_RNA from 1 species